AUUGAACGCUGGCGGCAUGCCUUACACAUGCAAGUCGAACGGCAGCACGGGUGCUUGCCCCUGGUGGCGAGUGGCGAACGGGUGAGUAAUACAUCGGAACAUGUCCUGUAGUGGGGGAUAGCCCGGCGAAAGCCGGAUUAAUACCGCAUACGAUCUACGGAUGAAAGCGGGGGACCUUCGGGCCUCGCGCUAUAGGGUUGGCCGAUGGCUGAUUAGCUAGUUGGUGGGGUAAAGGCCUACCAAGGCGACGAUCAGUAGCUGGUCUGAGAGGACGACCAGCCACACUGGGACUGAGACACGGCCCAGACUCCUACGGGAGGCAGCAGUGGGGAAUUUUGGAGAAUGGGCGAAAGCCUGAUCCAGCAAUGCCGCGUGUGUGAAGAAGGCCUUCGGGUUGUAAAGCACUUUUGUCCGGAAAGAAAUCCUUGGCCCUAAUACGGUCGGGGGAUGACGGUACCGGAAGAAUAAGCACCGGCUAACUACGUG
rnacentral:rRNA from 1 species